UACAGAGGUCUCAAGCGUUGUUCGGAUUCAUUGGGCGUAAAGGGUGCGUAGGCGGCGCGGUAAGUCGGGGUGUGAAAUCUUGGAGCUUAACUCCGAAACUGCAUUCGAUACUGCCGUGCUUGAGGACUGGAGAGGAGACUGGAAUUUACGGUGUAGCGGUGAAAUGCGUAGAUAUCGUAAGGAAGACCAGUGGCGAAGGCGGGUCUCUGGACAGUUCCUGACGCUGAGGCACGAAGGCCCAGGGGGAGCAAACGGG
rnacentral:rRNA from 1 species